CUGGGAAACUGCCUGAUGGAGGGGGAUAACUAUUGGAAACGAUAGCUAAUACCGCAUAACAAUGGAUGACACAUGUCAUUUAUUUGAAAGGAGCAAUUGCUCCACUACAAGAUGGACCUGCGUUGUAUUAGCUAGUAGGUGAGGUAAUGGCUCACCUAGGCGACGAUACAUAGCCGACCUGAGAGGGUGAUCGGCCACACUGGGACUGAGACACGGCCCAGACUCCUACGGGAGGCAGCAUG
rnacentral:rRNA from 1 species